CAGCAUGCCGCUCCUUUAAUGACCUAUGAGAGCUGUGGACCCAGGCCAUACACUGGGAACCUGAGAACCUGCUGAGCAACUUCUGUUGAUCUAAGCCAGGUGAAAGCAGACAAGAAGUCAUGCUGAGAAGUGGGAGCUUGGUCUGGAAAUGCUUGGUUUUUCUCUUACAGACACAGUUGCAUUCUCUCAACAACAGCAACAACAACAACAAAAACGUCUGGAUUCAACAAAAACUUGCUAAAAGGUUUUCUUCACAAUAACAGCAUCUGUAAAAGCAUGUGGUUUAAUGUCCCUCCUCUGUAGUGUCCACUUCCUGUUCAGCUUCAACUCGAACAGCAGCAUGGAGGUAUUUAGUCGUCUGAGACGAGGACUGUAUGUUUUCCUGCGGUUGCUUCACCCGAUUCCCCUCCACUGCACACCAGAUGUAACCAAAGCAGAGGACAAAACAAGUGCAUUAUUUUUUCAGAGACAUGUCUAGUAUGAGACAGUGAUGCGCGCUGACAGGGCCUGCUAAUUGGAGUAAAUUAAUUUACCUCGGGCGCCAUGUUCUCACAAAGUGCCACACUCCAUGUGAAUAAGUGAUGAUCGGCAGGGCUCAUAUAAGCCCAGAGUUUUUAAAUCAUUUAGCAGCGCAUUCUGCUAAUUAGCACAGAGAAAUCCGGCUUUCAGCUACAAUUAAGACGGGCCUCUGUCAGUCAGGGGACCGCAGCCGGGAAGAAUCUCUGAUUUAUUCAUCCUGCAAGCAGAUGCUGAGUGCAUUGGGGGUUUGGAUGGAGGGACUUGGAGAUGAAGCAAGCAAGGGGAUCUGAAAGAUGAAGGCAGUGAGGGAGAGGAGUGCAGUAUGUGUGUGGGUUGUUAUUAGUGUGCUGGUGCAGAAAUUUGAUGUAUUUUUUUUUCUCUGCAAGAAAAGGUCCUAACAAAGCAAUGAGACGAGUUGGUGCAGUACUGUAAGUCUGCCCGCGAGGUUGCGUGUGUAACUUUGGAUUGGUCAGUCAUUGACAGUCUACACAAUGCUUCAAAAAUUUCGUAAAGACAUAUACAUGAAUUGAGUGGUUUAGUCCAAACUUUCUGAAGAGACUCAGUCACUUUAAAUGAUGAAUAGAUUUAAUUUAGCCUUUUAUUCACAUAUAAACAUCAAACAAUGCACACAUCAGUUAUGGCAAACAGAUACUCAAGCAUGCUUUCUUGACAUGUGAGAGCCAUUCUUUCUUCUCAUUCAUUCUUGUGUGUUACGCAGCAUGUCUGAGCUUCCAUAAGAACCCUCAAGCAA